CCUGACCAGCUCUCAUUCCAGUGUCUGAUGGUGUGAGGUCAGUACUGAUGAUGCUGAAGAACAAAGGUCUCAUAAAGCAAAAGUCUCCAGCAAUAGAAUUUUGCUUCCCUACCAGCUUUGUGUCUCCUUUGGACUUCCAGAGGAUUGGACUAAUCUUUGCUCCCCUGUUUGGCACCAACAGGAAAGUUCCCUGGCAGAAUGCACCUCUCAAUCAAUGUUGGACAGAAGCAUGCCCACCUUUGAAGCUGUAAACAUCCAGGAAGUCCAUCCAGAAGAAACAUAUUUUUUCAGAUGGAGGUUCCAGUUCAGGAAAUAUUAAAACAAAGAACUCAAAGGGACUUCAUAAAAUGCUUACAGGAAAUUCACUUGCCAGAAGUAUCCAUAGAGAGGGAGUGGAAAAUGAAUGUGAAUGCAACCACAGCAAAUCCUGGUGUAUGUGAGGGGACAGUGAGCAAGCAGCUGCGUGGUACUUUGUUGGUGUUAAACCACCACAAGCCCCAGAUUCCUUCAGCUGAAGUUGUUGCCUAGAGCUGCCCUGUUGCUGGAUGUGCCAGCUGUGGGUGAUGGAGCAGCCCCUCUCAGCUUGGUGCUGCUUGAAACUGGAGGGAAGGCAGGGAAAUAGGAUACUGCUUGGCCAAAGACAAUGCUGCUGAGAGCACAGAGCUAUCUUUAUCCCAGUUAUACCUUAGGGGCAGCUAAGGGGUUCCCAAAACCAGAGUGCAGCCAGAUUCACCAUCAAGGUCCAUUUGCUCAGCAGCAGCUCUGUGUGGCACCCAGGCACUCUUAAAUCACUCUGACACUGCCCAGAGGUCUAUACAAAUUGCUCUGCUGUUUAGCAUAUGUGCUCUUACAGCCAAACAGUCCCAAAUAAUUUUUGAGAGGGGCAUUAUGAAGCCAUGAAAAGCCACUUGGUUGACUGCACAAAUCCACAAAUAAAAGCUCCCAGCAAUGUAUCUCCUUUACAGUUGUAUAAAGCCUGCUGAUAUCAGCCAUUUCAAAUGGGUGUGGGAUGAGAAGCAUCAUUGCUCUUUCACAAAUGGACACUAAGGUCACUCAAAAUCAAUAGCAAGUAAGAAGUGAAAAGCAACUCUUAGAGAAAAUAAGGCUGAAACUGCUCCAGAAUUUGAGGUUUGACCAACCACUUCAGUGCAGCUUGCACAGCUGCAGAAGCAAUUGUAAAAACACCUGGGGUUUGUGCUCUCUUGUGUUUACAGAGCCCCUGCCCUCAUGUAUCUCAAAGACAAAGCCACAGAGUUACACAGGAGAAAGAAGUAACUUCUCCAGAAAGGGGCUCUGGAAUCCAAAGUUCUUAUUGGAACGCCAGAAGCAGUUUUCUUUGUAUUUGCCAACUCG